rnacentral:tRNA from 1 species
GAGGGUAUAGCUCAAGUGGCAGAGAGCAUGCUUAGCAUGCACAAGGUCCUUGGUUCAAUCCCUAGUAUCAUCU